UGAAUUGCAGAAUCCCGUGAACCAUCGAGUCUUUGAACGCAAGUUGCGCCUGAAGCCAUUAGGCUAAGGGCACGUCUGCCUGGGCGUCACGCAUCGCGUCACCUCUCCACACUUUUUGUAAAUGGGGUG
rnacentral:rRNA from 1 species